UCUGCCCUACGGGACGCAGCAGUGGGGAAUAUUGGGCAAUGGGCGCAAGCCUGACCCAGCAAUGCCGCGUGAAGGAAGAAGGCCCUCGGGUUGUAAACUUCUUUUAUCAGGGACGAAGGAUGUGACGGUACCUGAUGAAUAAGCUCCGUCUAACUACGUGCCAGCAGCCGUGGUAAUACGUAGGGAGCAAGCGUUAUCCGGAUUUACUGGGUGUAAAGGGCGCGUAGGCGGGAUGGCAAGUCAGAUGUGAAAUCCAGGGGCUCAACCACUGAACUGCAUUUGAAACUGUCGUUCU
rnacentral:rRNA from 1 species